rnacentral:rRNA from 1 species
GGCAGGAGUCGAUGUGCAUAAGAUGCAGACCUGACCCCAUGCCGAACUCAGAAGUGAAACGCCGUAGCGCCGAUGGUAGUGUGGGGUCUCCCCAUGCGAGAGUAGGGAACUGCCA